rnacentral:rRNA from 1 species
AGGUCAAGCUACAAAGGGCGCAUGGUGAAUGCCUUGGCAUCAGGAGCCGAUGAAGGACGUGAUAAGCUGCGAUAAGCUUCGGGUAGGCGCACAUAGCCUGAGAUCCGAAGAUUUCCGAAUGAGGAAACUCACAUGGGAAACCCCAUGUAUCAUUAAGUGAAUACAUAGCUUAAUGAAGGUAACCCAGGGAACUGAAACAUCUAAGUACCUGGAGGAAGAGAAAGAAAAAUCGAUUUUCUUAGUAGCGGCGAGCGAAAAGGAAAGAGCCCAAACCGGAAACUUGUUUCCGGGGUUGUGGACAUAACAUAAAAGUGGAGGCUAUUGUAACUGAAGAGAACUGGAAAGUUCCACCGUAGAAGGUAAUAGUCCUGUAAGUGAAACGAGAAGACCACGAGUUAUGAUCCAGAGUACCACGAGACACGUGAAACCUUGUGGGAAGCAGGGAGGACCACCUCCCAAGGCUAAAUACUACCUGAUGACCGAUAGUGAAGCAGUACCGUGAGGGAAAGGUGAAAAGAACCCCGGGAGGGGAGUGAAAUAGAACCUGAAACCGUGUG